AAUAAGACACCCCCCCUUUUCCCCCCCAAAAGCCUGGCAGGGGUGUCGGGCUGAUAGGCUCGCCCGGAGGAAAGCGCAUUACGUAGGCAAGCGGCUCCGCUCAACUUGCCACCUGCGCCGGGAGAGCUGCCGGGGAAGCGAGAUCCUGCCGGAGCCCCUCGCCCGCCGCUGGCCGCCCACCCGCCCUCCGCCAUGGACUGCUGCAAUGAGGGAGCCUGCACAAAGCUGGACGAGGACAUCCUGGACAUCCCUUUGGACGAUCCCGAUGCCAACGCGGCGGCCGCCAAGAUCCAGGCUAGUUUCCGUGGCCAUAUGACCCGCAAGAAGAUCAAAGGGGGAGAAAUCGAUCGGAAAACCAAGGACGCCGAGUGCGCCAACAGCACCCGCGGCGGCGACCUCCGCAACGGAGACUAGGGGCCGCCAGCCGCUCCCCGGACCCCCCUCGCCACCGGCCCCCCCCGCCGCCGCCCGCCGAGGCCCAGGAGCCCCCGCUUUGCCCCAUCGCCCCCCGCAUGCGACCCCCGGAGCCCCGCAGCAGCCAGGCCCUGCCCCCACCCCCGGCUGCCCCGCCCCGCCCCGGAGACCCCCCACCCCAAUAAACGCCCCUGCCAGAGCCCCGGGCUGUCCUUGGUGCCGUUCCAUGUCCCCGGCGGAGGGUGAGGGCACCGCGGGGCACAGCGGGGAGGGGCAGGGGCUGGUGGUGCCCAGCAGUGAUGUCACACGUGCGUGUGGGACAUCGUGCGGGCACAUGUGACAUCACUGCCAGCCCUGUGACGGCGGGAGUGACAUCACGCAGCUGCACAGGGCGUGGUGUGACGUCGCUGGUGGGUGGGAGAACACUCGUGGGGUGCUCCUGCCCCGAGGUGGGUGGUGACAUCACUGCUGGACGUGUGACAGCUGCUGUGACACCACAGAGGUCUGUGUGAUGUCACUGCUGGAUGUGUGACACCAUACAAGGGUGUGUGACGUCAGUGUGGGAUGUGUGACACCAUAGACGUGUGUGUGAUGUCACUGUGGGAUGUGUGACACCACAAAGGUCUCUGAUGUCACUGUGGGAUGUUUGACACCAUAAAGGGAUGUGUGACACCACAGAGGCAUCUGAUGUCACUGUGGGAUGUGUGACACCAUAAAGGGAUAUGUGAUGUCACUGUGGGAUGUGUGACACCACAGAGGUCUGUGUGAUGUCACUGUGGGAUCUGUGUGACAUCACUGCUGGAUGUGUGACAGCACAGAGGUGUGUGUGAUGUCACUGUGGGACGUGUGACAACAUCCAGGGGUGUGUGAUGUCAAUGUGGGAUGUAUGACACCAUAGAGGUGUGUGAUGUCACGUGGGAUGUGUGACAACAUCCAGGGGUGUGUGAUGUGUGGGAUGUGUGACACCGUACAGGCAUGUGUCACGUCACCACUGGCUGUCUGAUGCUGGGUGUGACAUCAUGCAGGCCUGCACGACAUCACUCAUGGACGUGUGACAUGCCUGUAUGGCAUCAAACAGGCAUGACUUGAAAGCCGUGAUGUCACACACUCGUGGUGACAUCGUGGUGACAGACAGGUCACAGGGUGUGAAAACACACGUGCACCACAGUGUCACCUCACCCCGAGGACCUUGGCUGGUGCUGUGACGUCACCCCGCCCUGUGACAUCACCCAGAAGGCUGUGGGACCCCCCCCAACCCCGAAAUCCCCACAAACUCACCCAAAGCGCCGGUGCUGGGCAGCACAGCAGCUUUUAAUCAGAAAACUCCUAAAAAAAGUGUGUCCCCCACCCGCCUGUC